rnacentral:rRNA from 1 species
AGAACGAACGCUGGCGGCAGGCUUAACACAUGCAAGUCGAACGCCCCGCAAGGGGAGUGGCAGACGGGUGAGUAACACGUGGGAACGUGCCCUAAGGUACGGAACAACUCCGGGAAACUGGAGCUAAUACCGUAUGUGCCCGAGAGGGGAAAGAUUUAUCGCCUUGGGAUCGGCCCGCGUCUGAUUAGCUAGUUGGUAGGGUAAUGGCCUACCAAGGCUACGAUCAGUAGCU